AGUGAACGCUGGCGGUAGGCCUAGCACAUGCAAGUCGAACGGCAGCACAGUAAGAGCUUGCUCUUACGGGUGGCGAGUGGCGGACGGGUGAGGAAUACAUCGGAAUCUACUUUUUCGUGGGGGAUAACGUAGGGAAACUUACGCUAAUACCGCAUACGACCUACGGGUGAAAGCAGGGGAUCUUCGGACCUUGCGCGAUUGAAUGAGCCGAUGUCGGAUUAGCUAGUUGGCGGGGUAAAGGCCCACCAAGGCGACGAUCCGUAGCUGGUCUGAGAGGAUGAUCAGCCACACUGGAACUGAGACACGGUCCAGACUCCUACGGGAGGCAGCAGUGGCGAAUAUUGGACAAUGGGCGCAAGCCUGAUCCAGCCAUACCGCGUGGGUGCAGAAGGCCUUCGGGUUGUAAAGCUCUUUUGUUGGGAAAGAAAAGCAGCAGGUUAAUACCCCGCUGUUCUGACGGUACCCAAAGAAUAAGCACCGGCUAACUUCGUG
rnacentral:rRNA from 1 species